GACGCUAUAUGGGGGAGGAACACAGAGGAUGCGGUCAAAGAGGUUGGACUACGUCGAGUGGUGUUGAGGACAGGUGGUGCUGCGUCGUUUCGUGCUUUUGCCGCCUUCCCUCUCCUUAGAGAUAAGGGCUACUUCUCUGCACUAGGUAAAAUACAUUUAUAAAAUUUAUUUAUAUUACGGAAUCCAAUAUACAAGUUUUUGACUGAUAACCACCAGAAGAAAUUUUUUAAUUUGGAAUUAUGAGGUAAAAAUGAUGUUAGCAAAAAAAAAAAGAUUGAAAAAUGUUUGACAAAAUCGAGAUUUGAAAGUGAAGAUAGUGAAUUUUUUAAUUAGUGUCUUGCUGGUAAAAGGGAAUGAAACAAGGCUAGAUACAAUCUUCUUUCAGUUUCAGUUUCAUUAGAAGAAAAUAUUAAUUUCAUAAUUGCAAAGUUUUCAAUUUUCUUUCUCGUUGUAUCACUCAGGAUAGCUAGAGACAGUUUGCAAAAAAAAAAACAAGUACUUGAUGUAAAAUCGAUUGUCAAAAUGUAUAUAUAUAUUCACAAAUAAUUAGAUAUCUAAAAUUAGUUAUUUAUCUUGUCACUAGAAAUGUUGAGUUUGUUUAAAAUAACUUUAGAUUUAUUUUUUAAAUCCAAAUUUUAUAAAGCAAUUUUUACUAAACGAUUCUUAAACAUGUAAUUGGAUCAUAGAAUCUAAAAUUUCUUUCUUAGACAUCUUUUAGAAAUGUCAGAAAUUUAUUAUUCUAUUUAUCCAGAUUCUAGACUAGAUGAUCCAGUGAUAGAGCUUUCACCAUUGAAAGUGAAGGAUCUUCCUGUAAUAGAAACGAACGAUCCAGACGAACUAUACCGAAUAAUAACCGACAUGGUGGAAGGAGUCAAGUCUUCAUCAGGAGUCAUAUGGAACACAUUCCAAGAUCUUGAAAGAGACCAAAUCAUGGAUUUGAGCAGCAACUUCC
rnacentral:lncRNA from 1 species